GCGGCAGGCCUAACACAUGCAAGUCGAACGGUAACAGGAAUAGCUUGCUAUUUGCUGACGAGUGGCGGACGGGUGAGUAAUGCUUGGGAACUUGCCUUUGGGAGGGGGAUAACAGUUGGAAACGACUGCUAAUACCGCAUAACGUCUACGGACCAAAGGGGGCUUCGGCUCCUGCCUGAAGAGAGGCCCAAGUGAGAUUAGCUAGUUGGUGGGGUAAAGGCUCACCAAGGCGACGAUCUCUAGCUGUUCUGAGAGGAAGAUCAGCCACACUGGGACUGAGACACGGCCCAGACUCCUACGGGAGGCAGCAGUGGGGAAUAUUGCACAAUGGGGGAAACCCUGAUGCAGCCAUGCCGCGUGUGUGAAGAAGGCCUUCGGGUUGUAAAGCACUUUCAGUUGUGAGGAAAGGUUGGUAGUUAAUACCUGCCAGCUGUGACGUUAACAACAGAAGAAGCACCGGCUAACUCCGUGCCAGCAGCCGCGGUAAUACGGAGGGUGCGAGCGUUAAUCGGAAUUACUGGGCGUAAAGCGGACGCAGGCGGUUUGUUAAGCUAGAUGUGAAAGCCCCGGGCUCAACCUGGGAUGGUCAUUUAGAACUGGCAGACUAGAGUCUUGGAGAGGGGAGUGGAAUUCCAGGUGUAGCGGUGAAAUGCGUAGAUAUCUGGAGGAACAUCAGUGGCGAAGGCGACUCCCUGGCCAAAGACUGACGCUCAUGUCCGAAAGUGUGGGUAGCGAACAGGAUUAGAUACCCUGGUAGUCCACACCGUAAACGCUGUCUACUAGCUGUGUGUGAAUUUAAUUCGUGCGUAGCGAAGCUAACGCGCUAAGUAGACCGCCUGGGGAGUACGGCCG
rnacentral:rRNA from 1 species